CAUUAGUCCACUUCCUUAUCUGCCUUUCUGUUUAUACAGCUGCUGUCACCUGCUAUCACUCUGUUUCUCUUCAGCCUCCAUUUUUACAGAUGAAGAGAUAGGUGGCAGAAUCCAUGCUGAGAGUGGUGGUCUCUCUGGGCAGAAGAAGCAGGAAUUAGAGUUUGGGCCUGCUAAAGUGGUUGGAAUUUGUGAGCUGGUUGCCAGAGAGACUGGAGUCAUGGAGAGGAAGCCCCAGAAGGUACCAUGUUGUCAUAAUAAUUCCUAGCAUGUACCAGGCAAUGGAUUUUCACUUUAAUCUAAUUUUUACAAUAAGCUUAUGAACAAGGCUAAUUA
rnacentral:lncRNA from 1 species